rnacentral:rRNA from 1 species
UACAGAGGUCCCGAGCGUUGUUCGGAUUCACUGGGCGUAAAGGGUGCGUAGGUGGCUGGGUAAGUUUGAUGUGAAAGCUCAGGGCUUAACCCUGAAAUGGCAUUGAAUACUGCCUGGCUGGAGGUUUGGAGGGGGGACUGGAAUUCUUGGUGUAGCAGUGAAAUGCGUAGAUAUCAAGAGGAACACCAGUGGCGAAGGCGAGUCCCUGGACAACACCUGACACUGAGGCACGAAAGCCGGGGGAGCAAACAGG